UGCAUUAUUGACGUUAGCGACAGAAGAAGCACGGCUAACUCCGUGCCAGCAGCCGCGGUAAUACGGAGGGUGCGAGCGUUAAUCGGAAUUACUGGGCGUAAAGCGCAUGCAGGUGGUUUGUUAAGUCAGAUGUGAAAGCCCGGGGCUCAACCUCGGAAUAGCAUUUGAAACUGGCAGACUAGAGUACUGUAGAGGGGGGUAGAAUUUCAGGUGUAGCGGUGAAAUGCGUAGAGAUCUGAAGGAAUACCGGUGGCGAAGGCGGCCCCCUGGACAGAUACUGACACUCAGAUGCGAAAGCGUGGGGAGCAAACAGGAUUAGAUACCCUGGUAGUCCACGCCGUAAACGAUGUCUACUUGGAGGUUGUGGCCUUGAGCCGUGGCUUUCGGAGCUAACGCGUUAAGUAGACCGCCUGGGGAGUACGGUCGCAAGAUUAAAACUCAAAUGAAUUGACGGGGGCCCGCACAAGCGGUGGAGCAUGUGGUUUAAUUCGAUGCAACGCGAAGAACCUUACCUACUCUUGACAUCCAGAGAACUUUCCAGAGAUGGAUUGGUGCCUUCGGGAACUCUGAGACAGGUGCUGCAUGGCUGUCGUCAGCUCGUGUUGUGAAAUGUUGGGUUAAGUCCCGCAACGAGCGCAACCCUUAUCCUUGUUUGCCAGCACUUCGGGUGGGAACUCCAGGGAGACUGCCGGUGAUAAACCGGAGGAAGGUGGGGACGACGUCAAGUCAUCAUGGCCCUUACGAGUAGGGCUACACACGUGCUACAAUGGCGCAUACAGAGGGCGGCCAACUUGCGAGAGUGAGCGAAUCCCAAAAAGUGCGUCGUAGUCCGGAUCGGAGUCUGCAACUCGACUCCGUGAAGUCGGAAUCGCUAGUAAUCGUGGAUCAGAAUGCCACGGUGAAUACGUUCCCGGGCCUUGUACACACCGCCCGUCACACCAUGGGAGUGGGCUGCAAAAGAAGUAGGUAGUUUAACCUUCGGGAGGACGCUACCACUUUGUUACC
rnacentral:rRNA from 1 species